rnacentral:rRNA from 1 species
GCGUGAGUGACGAAGGCCUUAGGGUUGUAAAGCUCUUUCGACGGGGAAGAUGAUGACGGUACCCGUAGAAGAAGCCCCGGCUAACUCCGUGCCAGCAGCCGCGGUAAUACGGAGGGGGCUAGCGUUGUUCGGAAUUACUGGGCGUAAAGCGCACGUAGGCGGCUCUGCAAGUCAGAGGUGAAAUCCCCAGGCUCAACCUGGGAAUUGCCUUUGAUACUGCAGGGCUAGAGGCCGGGAGAGGGUAGUGGAAUUCCCAGUGUAGAGGUGAAAUUCGU